GAAGGGGUAUUCAGGACUGUUCACGUUAUAGGCCUAUCAAUUGUUUAUAUAUUAGAUAGGACUAUUAUACUGUAAAAUUUAUCGAUUUUUGCACGCGCACAUAUACGCAUACAUCUCCACAAUGCGUUGAUGCAAAUGCAUAUAGAUAUUGUAUAUAAUACAUAUUCAUUAAUUUAAAAAUAUAACAAUGUUUAUAUAUCAACAAUACUUACAACCACCAAGUUUUAAACAUGUAUUGAUACAGACCCGUGGUUAAAUGAUUAGUAAACGUUGCCAAGACAAAUCUACAAAAGAAAUUGUAUAGCCGCUGCUGAAUAAAACAGGAUUAUAAAUAAUAUACGUUAUUGAAUUCAAAAA
rnacentral:lncRNA from 1 species